GAUGAACGCUGGCGGCGUGCUUAACACAUGCAAGUCGAACGGGAAAUCUUUCAUUUAGACUUCGGGGGGUUUGCUUUAUUUCUAGUGGCGGCCGGGGGAUUAACUCGUUGGUAGCCUGCCUUAUCCAGGGGGAUAACAGUCAGAAAUGGCUGCUUAUACCGCAUCAGCGCACACAGCUGCAUGGCUCAGUGUGGAAAACUCCGAUGGUAUAAGAUGGACACGCGUUGGAUUAGCUAAUUGGAAAGGUAACGGCUUACCAAGGCGAGGAUCCGUAGCCGGCCUCAAAGGGUGGUCGGCCACCCUGGAAGUGAGGCACGAUCGAGACUCUUGCGGGGGGGAGCAGUCCAGAAUCCUCCGCGAUGGACGAAAGGGUGACGGAGCAACACCGCGGGAAUCAUGAAGGACUUCGGAUGGGAAAACGCAGUAGUAAGGCAGUAAGUAAUGUGCUAUUAGCAGGGAAGAUAGUGACGGUACCUGACCAAGAAGCCCCGGCUAACUACGUG
rnacentral:rRNA from 1 species